UGCAGUCGAGCGAAUGAUGAAGAAGCUUGCUUCCUUCUGAUUUAGCGGCGGACGGGUGAGUAACACGUGGGCAACCUACCUAGUAGAUUGGGAUAACUCCGGGAAACCGGGGCUAAUACCGAAUAAUCCAUUUUGUCACAUGGCAAAAUGCUGAAAGGCGGUUUCGGCUGUCACUACUAGAUGGGCCCGCGGUGCAUUAGCUAGUUGGUGGGGUAACGGCCUACCAAGGCAACGAUGCAUAGCCGACCUGAGAGGGUGAUCGGCCACAUUGGCACUGAGACACACCCCAAACUCCUACGGGAGGCAGCAGUAGGGAAUCUUCCACCAUGGACGAAAGUCUGAUGGAGCGACACCGCGUGAGUGAUGAAGGUUUUCGGAUCGUAAAACUCUGUUGUAAGGGAAGAACAAGUACGUUAGUAACUGAACGUACCUUGACGGUACCUUAUUAGAAAGCCACGGCUAACUACGUGCCAGCAGCCGCGGUAAUACGUAGGUGGCAAGCAUUGUCCGGAUUUAUUUUGCGUAAAGCGCGCGCAGGUGGUUUCUUAAGUCUGAUGUGAAAGCCCACGGCUCAACCGUGCAGGGUCAUUGGAAACUGGGAGACUUGAGUGCGGAAGAGGAAAGUGGAAUUCCAAGUGUAGCGGUGAAAUGCGUAGAGAUAUGGAGGAACACACGUGGCGAAGGCGACUUUCUGGUCUGUAACUGACACUGAGGCGCGAAAGCGUGGGGAGCAAACAGGAUUAGAUACACUGGUGACACACGCCGUAAACGAUGAGUGCUAAGUGUUAGGGGGUUUCCGCCCCUUAGUGCUGCAGCUAACGCAUUAAGCACUCCGCCUGGGGAGUACGCCGCAAGGUUGAAACUCAAAGAAUUGACGGGGGCCCUCACAGCGGUGGASCAUGUGGUUUAAUUCGAAGCACACGAAAAACCUUACCAGGUCUUGUCUCCAAUGACCGCUCUAGAAGAUAGUUCCCUUCGGGACAUUGGUGACAGGUGGURCAUGGGUUGUCGUCAGCUUCCGAAAUGUUGGGGUUAAGUCCC
rnacentral:rRNA from 1 species